rnacentral:tRNA from 1 species
GUGACUGUGGUGGAGUGGUUAACACGUCCGGUUGUGGCCCGGAAGACCGAGGGUUCAAGUCCCUCCAGUCACC